UACGGGAGGCAGCAGUGGGGAAUAUUGCACAAUGGGCGAAAGCCUGAUGCAGCUAUGCCGCGUGUAUGAAGAAGGCCUUAGGGUUGUAAAGUACUUUCAUCGGGGAGGAAAAACAAAACUAAUAAUUUUAUUUCUUGACGUUACCCGAAAAAGAAGCACCGGCUAACUCCGUGCCAGCAGCCGCGGUAAUACGGAGGGUGCUAGCGUUAAUCAGAAUUACUGGGCGUAAAGAGCACGUAGGUGGUUUUUUAAAGUCAGAUGUGAAAUCCCUGGGCUUAACCUAGGAACUGCAUUUUGAAACUGAAAUACUAGAGUAUCGUAGAGGGAGGUAGAAUUCUAGGUGUAGCGGUGAAAUGCGUAGAUAUCUGGAGGAAUACCUGUGGCGAAAGCGGCCUCCUAAACGAAUACUGACACUGAGGUGCGAAAGCGUGGGGAGCAAACAGGGAUUAGAUACC
rnacentral:rRNA from 1 species